GGCCUCUGUUGUGGUGCUGGGAAGGUGGUGCUUGGGCUAUGGAGAAACAAUCCCACAACCUGAAUAAUAGCCUGUGGCCAACAGAAUUCUGUGUCUUUUCUUCCAAGUAAAGCCGGCUACUGGGCAAAUUCCAACUCGGGUGAUCCCAUUGUUUUCAACAUUAAUCAUUCUCAGAAAUAUUGAGUUUUCUAAAGUGUUUUGCCAAGGCGGCCCUUGGAAACCUGUCUAUGCUUCUGGAUGAACCAACCUAAGUCACAUCACUCCAGAUAUCAUGGAGGAUAUCCAUAUGGUUAUAUGGAAUCAUAGAAACUUGUGGACGGAGGAGACUUAGGGAUUAUCUAGUCCAACCUUCUUGAUUUCAGGUGCUGAUAAUUCCCAGGACUACCACCAGCCUCGCCUUUGUGCUGACAAGACUUCCUGAUACGUCCUCAAGGAUGAUCAAAUGAACUUCAUGACUUGUUUCUGUUUCUGCCCUUGGACGACUUCUGCGGAAAUCAUCUCUAGAUCUUACCUAGUCAAUCCAGGAAAAUCUCUCCUUACACCCUCUGUCUGUUUCAAUUCGGAGGGAGAAAUUGCCUAAUUGGGCCUUGUUCUGUUGCCUCCACCUCCCGGGUUCAAGCAAUUCUCCUGCCUCAGCCACCUGAGUAGGUGGGACUACAGGCACGCACCACCACGCCUGGCUAAUUUUUGUGUUUUUGGAAGAGACGGGGUUUCACCAUGUUGGCCAGGCUGAGCUCAUUCCUUUUUAUUGCUGAGUGAAAUUUCUCAGGAUUAAAAAAUUCUCUAAAAACAUCCUAAAGGAAAUUUUUUUUCAACAAUUUUUCUUCUAUGAAUUCACUUUUCAGUUCACAUUUCUGGAGAAAAAAACUCAGUGAAAAAUUGAUGAAAAAUGUUCAUCUAAAUGGCAAAAUAUUCUAAGCUAAGCAAAAAGCAUUUUUUAGAUGCCAGUGAUUGAGUUACCAAGGGUGGGUAUUGGUUGCGUAGGAUGGAGUGAGCCCAGGAGGUCCCGGCUAGGAGAGUAUCACUACUGACCCCAACAUAUGCUGGGAUUGUUGGGUUUGCCUAAGAGCAGCGGGGUUUCAGUUUAUAGUACCUAUCUCUCCCCACCCCAAUCCUUUUGUGAUCAAUAGAAUAUAUUAAAAUGACAGCUUGCAAACUAUGAAAAAGCUUGCAAACCUCACAGAAGAGAAGUCUUUAAAAACUAUUAAAAAUUUUAAAGACACAGGGUCUUUCCAUGUUGCUUAGGCUGGUCUCAAAUUCCUGGGCUUAAGUGAUCGUCCUGCUGUGGCCUCUGUGUAGCUGCUGUGCCAUUGUGCAUGGUGAAGAUAAGUUUUUUAAAAUUAUUAUUUUUGUUUUAUUAUACAAGUAGUAUGAGUUCUUUGGGAAAUCAAUUUAAAAGCAUAUUUCGCUAUCCAAGUAAACAUAAAAAUAUGCACUUUAUUUUUAUUUUUAUUUUUUUUUUGAGAUAGAGUCUCACUCUGUUGCUCAGGCUGGAGUACAGUGACGAGAUCUCAGCUCACUAGCAAACUCUGCUUCCUGGGUUUAAGCGAUUCUCGUGCCUCAGCCUCCGGAGUAGCUGGGAUUACAGGCAUGUGCCACCACAUCUGGCUAAUUUUUGUAGUUUUAACAGAGACAGGGUUUCACCAUGUUGGCCAGGCUGGUCACGAACUCCUGACUUCAGGUGAUCCAACUGCCUCAGCUUCCUAAAGUGCUGGGAUUACAGGCAGGAGCCAUUGCGCCUGGACUACAUAUUAUUUUUUUUAACGUAUAGAUAUCCAUAUAUUUUCUAAAAUAUGGGAAUCAAUAUAUACGUAUAGAUUUAUCCUUAAACUUGUUUUAUAACAUACAAUUUUCCAUAUACUUAAAUAUUCAAAAUCACAAAUAUUAAUAUUUUAUAACAUUAUUUCAUAUGUAUAUAAUUAUUUAAUCAAUUCCCUGUAUUUAACAAUUAGGUUGUUUCCAAUUUACAGCAUUACCAGGAUUGCGGAGAUUGAUAUUUUUGUGUUUAUUUAGAUUAUUUUUCCAUAAUAAAUUCUCAGAAAUGAAAAUAUUGCUGAAGGAUCAAAACACUUUUGAGAUUUUUGCACAUUUUGACAAAUUUUGACCUAACAGAUUCCUAGUAGCAGUGAGUGAGAGUACUCAUUUCAUCAUAUACCUGACAGCAGUGAGUAUUAUUUUAAAAGACAUACAUGCCAAGUUGAGGGAAUAAAGUGUUAUCUCUGCUUCAUCUUUCAUUUCUUUGAUUACCAGUCAUGUGGGACUUUUAAAACAUAACUGUGUUAAUGGUCAUUUCUAUUUACUCUUUUGUAAAUGAUCAUUCUUUUAUUUGAUCAAUACUUAUUGAUUGCCCACUAUGUGUGAAGCACUGCAGAAGGUGUAACAUUCAGCAGCAAAUGAGAGAGAGACAGCCCCUGCCCUAAUGGAACAUAAAGUUUUUUUUUUCUUUUGAGGACAGAGUCUCAGUCUGUUGCCCAGACUGGAGUGCAGUGGCACAAUCUCGGCUCACUGCAACCUCUGCUGCCUGGGUUCAAGUGAUUCUCGUGCCUCAGCCUCUGGAGUAGCUGGGGUUUCAGGCGUGUGCCACCACAUCCGGCUAAUUUUUGUAUUUUUAGUAGAGACGGGGUUUCAGCAGGAAUCACUGCUGACCUCAGGUGAUUCGCCUGCCUUGGCCUCCCAAGUUGCUGGGAUUACAGACGUGAGCCACUGCGCCAGGCCUUUUAUGGUGGUUUUUGAUGUGAGUAAGUGAUAUACAAAAGUGUAGGAAAAUUGGUCUCCCUCUCUUUCUGGUUUAUUUUUUCCUUUAUCAUUGAUUAGAAAGAUAUUUGAAAUUCUAGAUUAUAAAUUCACAUAUUUAUUAUUUCUUCUGGGUCUCCUGAGUGUAGUUUUUACACUUAAUAAUUAAAUCCAUCCAAAAUGUACAUUAUUGUAUCUUGUAAGGCAGUGAUUUAUCUUCUCACUGAAACAGUUAACUCUCUAUUUUAACACUAUUUAUGAAAUAAUCCUUCCUCCUCUUGAAUGAUUAGUCAUCUCACCUUUAUCAUAUACUAAGUUCUUUUUGAGUAGAUAUAUAUUAGGAUCCAUUUCUGGGCUAUUUGUUUCUACCAUCAAUUUUUAUGUGUGUACUACGUUAUUGUAGUGUCAUAAUAUGUUUUAUUAUCUGGU
rnacentral:lncRNA from 10 species